rnacentral:rRNA from 1 species
UACGAAGGGGGCUAGCGUUGCUCGGAAUCACUGGGCGUAAAGCGCACGUAGGCGGCUUUCUAAGUCAGGGGUGAAAUCCUGGAGCUCAACUCCAGAACUGCCUUUGAUACUGGAGAGCUUGAGUCCGGAAGAGGUGAGUGGAAUUCCGAGUGUAGAGGUGAAAUUCGUAGAUAUUCGGAAGAACACCAGUGGCGAAGGCGGCUCACUGGACCGGUAUUGACGCUGAGGUGCGAAAGCGUGGGGAGCAAACAGG